ensembl:lincRNA
ACAGGGCCUGUGACGCAGUCAGGCCUAUUUCGCUGCUGAAAGGGGAGGUUUGUGCUCUGGCUGGUGGCAGGGUCCGUGCAGAACCAAGGUGUACUACGUCCCAUUCCCUGCGGCUGCCAAGGCUCGUGGUAUAUGUGGGGUAUAUAGGGGUUGAGAACAUCCAUAGAGGGACCUGCACCCUCACUCAGCGGACCCCGAGCCGCUUGGUGUCUGCACCGCAUGCUCUAGACUGGCCAGGCCUAUGCACGCUCGGCGCUGGGGUCCCCUGGAAGCCCUGAUCGCGUCUGCACUGGAGCCCAGGGAUCCCACUGAGUUGUCCUCACCCUGUCCACGGGCUCUGCCUGGGGCCACCGUGACUUCCCCGGCCCUCCGCAUACGGCCCUGCAGCGGAGACUCACGUGGACCAGGCCAUCUUCUGUGGUCCCCAGGCUCAGUGUCAAGGUUGCUGACUUUAGGCGAGUCCCCAGCCUCUGUGCAGGGAGGGGGUUGUCCCGGUAUCAGUGGAGGCCACCCGUGAGCCAUGCCACCCUGCCCAGUUCCAGAAGGUGACUCCCUUAGGGUUGAUGGGAUUAAGGGUUUUUUCCCUCCAGAUAGAGAAUAAGAUGGAAUUGGAAAUAAUGUAGAAAGUCAAACCACUGUCUGAGGUCCAAGGAGUGAAUAUAAAAAUGCUCAGGCAUUUCUAAUUUAUCAGUGAAUAGUAGGUACAGAUAGAACUGCCUUGCGGGCUUCCCCCUGGGGGUCACCAGAGCCUGUGGGACAGACACAUCUGUGGUGUGUUCCCUCUCAGCUCCAGAGUCUUCCAGGCACUGGCUGUGCAGAAAAUCACUGUGUCCGUGGUGCAGUGUUGAGCAGAUGCCGAAGGGCUGUGGAGGGCGAUAACACAGCGUGCUCUCUGGAUGAGCGUGCCUGAAGUCGGCUGUCCGUUGUCACUUGUGAUGGGCGUCCUGUGAGCAGCUCGUUCAAGGGGAGACUUUGGAAUGAGAAGACAACCACGGCUCCCAACUGAAUAAGACGCUCAGGGUCCUGCGAGCAGGUGUUCUUUCCCGUCUCAGACACAUUUCCUUCUGGCAGAGCCUUAACCCACGAGCAGAACCAUGGCAGUGCAUCUAGUAAACCGGGUCUGUUUAUACCAUUUAGGAGGCAGCAUUAGGUGCAUGGAAAAUGGAUUUUCCUUCCUAGUAAAAUGUAACUUUCUGUGCAUUGUUCAGUGUGGGGAAUUACUACACAUGCAUCAAAAAUGCCAACUUGCUGGUAUUGUUAUAGCGUGGUGACAGAGCAGACUUGCUGCUUAUUCAUUCUGUGGCUCUGGGUCUGCUCUCUCAUCCGCGAAGCGGAGAUGGUCUGUGACCGCAGGCUCAUUGGCGGGAGUGCCUGGCAUGGGGUUGGCACAGGACUGAUGGCCCCUGUCACUGCAGAUGGCCAAGAAGAGGGCAGAGCUGGGAGACGUGUGCCCCGGGCGUCCUGGUGCUGCACAUGGCACCCUUGGCAUUGCUAAGACCCUAUCAGGUGGGGCAGCCUGGAACAUGGACACCUGCUUGUUCGGAGGCCAGCCAGGCUGGUAGGGGGGCCACGAGGCAUCGGCCUGUCAUCCUGUGUGGGGCCUGUCUGAGCUGCAGUUCAGCAACGCUGCAGCCCUGCACGGGACCAGAGUACCGGACUCCACUCUUCUUCCUUAAACGAGACGUGCAGUGGAAUGAACGCGGAACACACCGGGGCUAAUUGGGAUCUCCUAAAGAGAGCCAUGAAGCCCAGGUUGGUGUUUGUUGUCUUUUUAUUGCUAUGUUUCGGGGAAGCAGUGCUCAUGUCAGGACUCCCGGCACUUAUAUGAAAG